CUGCAGACCUGGAAGAGGUAGCUCAGAAAUGUGGCUUGUCUUACAAGGCCCUGGUUGCCCUGAGGCGGGUGCUGCUGGCUCAGUUCUCGGCUUUCCCCGUGAAUGGCGCUGAUCUCUACGAGGAACUGAAGACCUCCACUGCCAUCCUGUCCACUGGCAUUGGCAGGCAGAAGCUCUCCGGAGGAUCCAGGUGGUGCAUGCAUUUGA
rnacentral:lncRNA from 1 species